rnacentral:misc_RNA from 1 species
UGGGAAAACUCGGCAUACAAAGGAAAAUUGUUGAAAGUUACAAGUCAACCAUCUAAAGGGCGUGGAGGGAAUUGGAUAGGCUUAGCAAGACCACAAGCAAAUAUAUCUGAGACUGGAUUUUUCUGAGGAUACAGCUACAAAUGGAAGCCUUUCCAAUGAGGAAGUACAAACCUUAAGAUGUUUGCUGUCAUAGCUAAAAUUUCAAUCUACUACGGUUACCUUUUCCAACUUUGUUAAAUCAAGUAAUGCUCUUCUUUCCAAUCUUGAAAAAACACUUUGGGUUACAAAUUUUGGAGCAAAUAAACACACGAUAGGCUAUUUCAAUAAAUUUACAACCUAUGUACCAUGUUUAAAAAUGGAGAAAGUCUGUAUAGCAGAUUCCUUUGCCAUAUUUCAAGAACAGAUUCUAUUGAAUGCAACCCUUCUUUUGAAACUCAUCUCAGUUUUGCAUGUGCUCAACUUUUCCA